UACGGGGGGGGCAAGCGUUGUUCGGAAUUACUGGGCGUAAAGGGCGCGUAGGCGGUUCGCUAAGUUGAAUGUGAAAACUCUGGGCUUAACCCAGAGCCUGCAUUCAAUACUGGCGGGCUAGAGUUCUGGAGGGGAUAGCGGAAUUCCUGGUGUAGCGGUGAAAUGCGUAGAUAUCAGGAGGAACACCGGUGGCGAAAGCGGCUCUCUGGAACGGUACUGACGCUGAGACGCGAAAGCGUGGGGAGCGAACAGG
rnacentral:rRNA from 1 species